rnacentral:misc_RNA from 1 species
CCAAAUCAACGGCCGAAAGGCCUUGCCCUAGGGGGGGAAACCCCCCGACGGUAAACCCUUUGUGAAAACCCUUCGUUUGCCUCGGCGGCACCUUUACCCCCUUCGGGGGGCGGAGGGUCAGCCCGCCGACGGCACCUUUAGAAACCCUUUAUUGAAAAGAAGAAUGUCUGAAUCAAUGGUCGAAUGACUAUA